UACGGAGGGUGCAAGCAUUAAUCGGAAUUAUUGGGCGUAAAGGGCGCGUAGGCGGUAAGGCAAGUCAGGUGUGAAAUCCCGGAGCUUAACUCCGGAACAGCACUUGAAACUGCCUUUCUAGAGGGUAGGCGGAGAAAAACGGAAUUCCACAAGUAGCGGUGAAAUGCGUAGAUAUGUGGAAGAACACCAGUGGCGAAGGCGAGUCCCUGGACAACUUCUGACGCUGAGGCACGAAAGCUAGGGGAGCAAACAGG
rnacentral:rRNA from 1 species